CUAAUCAUUUUUUGCUGCUUCA
rnacentral:piRNA from 1 species